rnacentral:lncRNA from 1 species
AGAAGGAGCUGCGGCUGCAGCGCAGCAGGUUCUCCAUCUUCCCGCACAGCUCGCAGUACUGCCGGUCUCGCUCGCUCGAGCUCGGCUCGCCGGGCCCGCAGCUGUCAUUGGCCAUGGCGACCGCAGCUGAGCAGGAGGGGUGCGGCCGGACGGCCUCGCCCGAGGCUGGGGAGCGGAGAGAGAGAUAGGGGCCGUCACUGCGCCAUGCACCCGCUACCCUUGACUCAAGGAGGCUGGCACCCAGGGCCCUCGGCCGGGUCGCUUCCGAGUCCUAGGCUCCGGCGCAGCGCAGGCGGCCGCCUCAGCGCCUAAUCGCCGCCGUGGGCUGAGAGAACGCGGCCUGUGCGGCGAACGGCAACCCGGGCUCGGGCGCGCGAGCCUGCGGAGCGCAAGACCGGCCCCCUCGGCUGCCGCCACCGCCUCAGCGUCCCGGGCGGCCCGGCCCAGGCUGCGGAGGAGCGCAGGGUUCUUUCUGCAAGUCUUCCACCAGGGCCACUGCCUCCUCUCCACUCUCCGGAUGCUGCUGUCUGACCCAGAUCUGGAUCUCCUGGAGAAGGACAGUCGGGAACUGUUCUAGGACCAGCAACUCCAGGAUCUGCUCUUUUGUACACUUCUCUGGCCUUAGCCACUGACAACAGAGCUUCUGGAGCUGGAGGAGGGCCUCUCGGGGUCGUGAUGCUUCUUGGUAACGGAAAUGCCAAAAGCUCUGGCAGGAUGUCUCUGGUCCAGGGUAAUUCCCUUGAAGGGAAAUUUCCUGCUCCCAGUGGGAAUCUUCUUCCAGUUUAACUAUUUGGAGAUCUUGUACUGAAGGAGUCUGGAUUUGUUGGUCCACAGCUACAGCCAUU